rnacentral:rRNA from 1 species
CCGCAUGGUUCAGACAUAAAAGGUGGCUUCGGCUACCACUUACAGAUGGACCCGCGGCGCAUUAGCUAGUUGGUGAGGUAACGGCUCACCAAGGCAACGAUGCGUAGCCGACCUGAGAGGGUGAUCGGCCACACUGGGACUGAGACACGGCCCAGACUCCUACGGGAGGCAGCAGUAGGGAAUCUUCCGCAAUGGACGAAAGUCUGACGGAGCAACGCCGCGUGAGUGAUGAAGGUUUUCGGAUCGUAAAGCUCUGUUGUUAGGGAAGAACAAGUGCCGUUCAAAUAGGGCGGCACCUUGACGGUACCUAACCAGAAAGCCACGGCUAACUACGUGCCAGCAGCCGCGGUAAUACGUAGGUGGCAAGCGUUGUCCGGAAUUAUUGGGCGUAAAGGGCUCGCAGGCGGUUUCUUAAGUCUGAUGUGAAAGCCCCCGGCUCAACCGGGGAGGGUCAUUGGAAACUGGGGAACUUGAGUGCAGAAGAGGAGAGUGGAAUUCCACGUGUAGCGGUGAAAUGCGUAGAGAUGUGGAGGAACACCAGUGGCGAAGGCGACUCUCUGGUCUGUAACUGACGCUGAGGAGCGAAAGCGUGGGGAGCGAACAGGAUUAGAUACCCUGGUAGUCCACGCCGUAAACGAUGAGUGCUAAGUGUUAGGGGGUUUCCGCCCCUUAGUGCUGCAGCUAACGCAUUAAGCACUCCGCCUGGGGAGUACGGUCGCAAGACUGAAACUCAAAGGAAUUGACGGGGGCCCG